GACGAACGCUGGCGGCGUGCUUAACACAUGCAAGUCGAACGGAAAGGCCCUGCUUUUGUGGGGUGCUCGAGUGGCGAACGGGUGAGUAACACGUGAGUAACCUUCCCUUGACUUUGGGAUAACUUCAGGCAACUGCUGCUAAUACCUGCUAGGAGCUCCUGCUGCAUGGUGGGGUUUGGAAAGCUUCGGCGGUUGUGGAUGGACUCGCGGCUUAUCAGCUUGUUGGUGGGGUAGUGGCUUACCAAGGCGUUGACGGGUAGCCGGCCUGAGAGGGUGGACGGCGACAUUAGGACUGAGAGACGGAGCAGACGCCUACGGGAGGCAGCAGGGGGGAAUAUUACAUAGUGGGCGGAAGCCUGAUGCAGCAGCGCCGCGAGCGGGAUGAAGGCCUUCGGGGUGUAAACCGCUUUAGCCUGUGACGAAGCGUGAGUGACGGUAAUGGGUAAAGAAGCACCGGCUAACUACGUG
rnacentral:rRNA from 1 species